UCUGAAGGUAGUGAGUUGUCUCAUGUGAUUGUUCACAGUCAGUUACAGAUCGAACUCCUUGUUCUACUUUCCCCCCUCCUCACUACUGCACUUGA
rnacentral:Y_RNA from 1 species